AAACACAUGGCCCCACCUUUGUGAGACUACCCUGGUUGUAUCCCCUAGCACCUUCCUCAGGAAAUGAAAGCGAAUUCCCUCAGACCGAAGUGGGAAUCAGUGCUUCAUCUCUUAUGAAUCUUUGACAUUUAGACUCCUGGAUUUCCUGGCAUCCAAAAUAUUUCUAUGGUCUUCAGAGAUUCCUGGGCUCUGGCCCACUGCAUGUUGGUAAAUCAACCAGAGAAUUGCUCGAAGAAGAUUCUCAUCAAUGAAGGGUAGACUAUCAGAAGGUGUUUGGAAGCCUGGUGAAAUGAUGAUGGAUAACCUCAGAAGAGAUAAAAUGAAAGUUGGUAUCAGCAUGUAGGUAGAUAGUCACUGUAUACUAAUUAGGCAUUCUCCUUUGUGUGCUUAAAACCACAGCAUUUCUUACAAUAAUUCAUCUAAAUGCAUAGUUUAAUGUCUACGUUAAGAGGCAUACUGUAAUUAGAGCUCCA
rnacentral:lncRNA from 1 species